UCGCAAGGUUAACCCGUGUGGGGUAGCCGCAGCGAAAGCGAGUCUGAAUAGGGCGACCCACACGCGCAUACGCGCGUGUGAAUAGUGGCGUGUUCUGGACCCGAAGCGGAGUGAUCUACCCAUGGCCAGGGUGAAGCGCGGGUAAGACCGCGUGGAGGCCCGAACCCACUUAGGUUGAAGACUGAGGGGAUGAGCUGUGGGUAGGGGUGAAAGGCCAAUCAAACUCCGUGAUAGCUGGUUCUCCCCGAAAUGCAUUUAGGUGCAGCGUUGCGUGGUUCACCGCGGAGGUAGAGCUACUGGAUGGCCGAUGGGCCCUACUAGGUUACUGACGUCAGCCAAACUCCGAAUGCCGUGGUGUAAAGCGUGGCAGUGAGACGGCGGGGGAUAAGCUCCGUACGUCGAAAGGGAAACAGCCCAGAUCGCCGGCUAAGGCCCCCAAGCGUGUGCUAAGUGGGAAAGGAUGUGCAGUCGCAAAGACAACCAGGAGGUUGGCUUAGAAGCAGCCACCCUUGAAAGAGUGCGUAAUAGCUCACUGGUCAAGUGAUUGUGCGCCGAUAAUGUAGCGGGGCUCAAGCACACCGCCGAAGCCGCGGCACAUCCACCUUGUGGUGGGUGUGGGUAGGGGAGCGUCCCUCAUUCAGCGAAGCCACCGGGUGACCGGUGGUGGAGGGUGGGGGAGUGAGAAUGCAGGCAUGAGUAGCGACAAGGCAAGUGAGAACCUUGCCCGCCGAAAGACCAAGGGUUCCUGGGCCAGGCCAGUCCGCCCAGGGUGAGUCGGGACCUAAGGCGAGGCCGACAGGCGUAGUCGAUGGACAACGGGUUGAUAUUCCCGUACCCGUGUGUGGGCGCCCGUGACGAAUCAGCGGUACUAACCACCCAAAACCGGAUCGAUCACUCCCCUUCGGGGGUGUGGAGUUCUGGGGCUGCGUGGGAACUUCGCUGGUAGUAGUCAAGCGAAGGGGUGACGCAGGAAGGUAGCCGUACCAGUCAGUGGUAACACUGGGGCAAGCCGGUAGGGAGAGCGAUAGGCAAAUCCGUCGCUCACUAAUCCUGAGAGGUGACGCAUAGCCGGUUGAGGCGAAUUCGGUGAUCCUCUGCUGCCAAGAAAAGCCUCUAGCGAGCACACACACGGCCCGUACCCCAAACCGACACAGGUGGUCAGGUAGAGCAUACCAAGGCGUACGAGAUAACUAUGGUUAAGGAACUCGGCAAAAUGCCCCCGUAACUUCGGGAGAAGGGGGACCGGAAUAUCGUGAACACCCUUGCGGUGGGAGCGGGAUCCGGUCGCAGAAACCAGUGAGGAGCGACUGUUUACUAAAAACACAGGUCCGUGCGAAGUCGCAAGACGAUGUAUACGGACUGACGCCUGCCCGGUGCUGGAAGGUUAAGAGGACCCGUUAACCCGCAAGGGUGAAGCGGAGAAUUUAAGCCCCAGUAAACGGCGGUGGUAACUAUAACCAUCCUAAGGUAGCGAAAUUCCUUGUCGGGUAAGUUCCGACCUGCACGAAUGGCGUAACGACUUCUCAACUGUCUCAACCAUAGACUCGGCGAAAUUGCACUACGAGUAAAGAUGCUCGUUACGCGCGGCAGGACGAAAAGACCCCGGGACCUUCACUACAACUUGGUAUUGAUGUUCGGUACGGUUUGUGUAGGAUAGGUGGGAGACUGUGAAACCUCGACGCCAGUUGGGGCGGAGUCGUUGUUGAAAUACCACUCUGAUCGUAUUGGGCAUCUAACCUCGAACCCUGAAUCGGGUUUAGGGACAGUGCCUGGCGGGUAGUUUAACUGGGGCGGUUGCCUCCUAAAAUGUAACGGAGGCGCCCAAAGGUUCCCUCAACCUGGACGGCAAUCAGGUGGCGAGUGUAAAUGCACAAGGGAGCUUGACUGCGAGACUUACAAGUCAAGCAGGGACGAAAGUCGGGAUUAGUGAUCCGGCACCCCCGAGUGGAAGGGGUGUCGCUCAACGGAUAAAAGGUACCCCGGGGAUAACAGGCUGAUCUUCCCCAAGAGUCCAUAUCGACGGGAUGGUUUGGCACCUCGAUGUCGGCUCGUCGCAUCCUGGGGCUGGAGCAGGUCCCAAGGGUUGGGCUGUUCGCCCAUUAAAGCGGCACGCGAGCUGGGUUUAGAACGUCGUGAGACAGUUCGGUCUCUAUCCGCCGCGCGCGUCAGAAACUUGAGGAAACCUGUCCCUAGUACGAGAGGACCGGGACGGACGAACCUCUGGUGCACCAGUUGUCCCGCCAGGGGCACCGCUGGAUAGCCACGUUCGGUCAGGAUAACCGCUGAAAGCAUCUAAGCGGGAAACCUUCUCCAAGAUCAGGUUUCUCACCCACUUGGUGGGAUAAGGCCCCCCGCAGAACACGGGUUCAAUAGGUCAGACCUGGAAGCUCAGUAAUGGGUGUAGGGAACUGGUGCUAACCGGCCGAAAACUUACAACA
rnacentral:rRNA from 1 species